AACCUCCGCAAUGUGAGAAAUCGCGACGGGGGGAUCCCAAGUGCCAUUCUUAACGGGAUGGCUUUUCAUUAGUGUAAAGAGCUUUUGGAAUAAGAGCUGGGCAAGACCGGUGCCAGCCGCCGCGGUAACACCGGCAGCUCUAGUGGUAACAAUUUUUAUUGGGCCUAGAGCGUCCGUAGCCGGUUUAAUAAGUCUCUGGUGAAAUCCUGUAGCUUAACUGUGGGAAUUGCUGGAGAUACUAUUAGACUUGAGACCGGGAGAGGUUAGAGGUACUCCCAGGGUAGAGGUGAAAUUCUGUAAUCCUGGGAGGACCGCCUGUUGCGAAGGCGUCUAACUGGAACGGUUCUGACGGUGAGGGACGAAAGUUAGGGGCGCGAACCGGAUUAGAUACCCGGGUAGUCCUAACUGUAAACGAUGCGGACUUGGUGUUGGGGUGGCUUUGAGCUGCUCCAGUGCCGAAGGGAAGCUGUUAAGUCCGCCGCCUGGGAAGUACGGUCGCAAGACUGAAACUUAAAGGAAUU
rnacentral:rRNA from 1 species